rnacentral:rRNA from 1 species
UACGUAGGGUGCGAGCGUUGUCCGGAAUUAUUGGGCGUAAAGAGCUCGCCGGCGGUCUGUCGCGUCGGUCGUGAAAACUUGGGGCUUAACCCUGAGCUUGCGGUCGAUACGGGCAUGACUGGAGUUCGGCAGGGGAGACUGGAAUUCCUGGUGUAGCGGUGAAAUGCGCAGAUAUCAGGAGGAACACCGGUGGCGAAGGCGGGUCUCUGGGCCGAUACUGACGCUGAGGAGCGAAAGCGUGGGGAGCAAACAGG